GACGAACGCUGGCGGCGUGCUUAACACAUGCAAGUCGAGCGGUAAGGCCCUUUCGGGGGUACACGAGCGGCGAACGGGUGAGUAACACGUGGGUGACCUGCCCUCAGCUCUGGGAUAAGCCUGGGAAACCGGGUCUAAUACCGGAUAUGACUCCAUGACGCAUGUUGUGGGGUGGAAAGCCUUGUGCGGCUGAGGAUGGGCCCGCGGCCUAUCAGCUUGUUGGUGGGGUGANGGCCUACCAAGGCGACGACGGGUAGCCGGCCUGAGAGGCGACCGGCCACACUGGGACUGAGACACGGCCCAGACUCCUACGGGAGGCAGCAGUGGGGAAUCUUGCGCAAUGGGCG
rnacentral:rRNA from 1 species